rnacentral:tRNA from 1 species
GCGAAGGUGGCGGAAUUGGUAGACGCGCUAGCUUCAGGUGUUAGUGUUCUUACGGACGUGGGGGUUCAAGUCCCCCCCCUCGCACAA